GUGAAUCAUCGAAUCUUUGAACGCAUAUUGCACUCUCUGGUAUUCCGGAGAGUAUGCCUAUUUGAGGGUCAUUUGAAAUAAUAUAAAUUUCGAGACUUUCUUGGAAUCAAAAAUGGGGCGGUCCAGGUUUCGUGUGGUGGUAGCUUAAUAUGCAAGACAAUUUCAUUUCUUGGGUUGGGUGAUACUUUUAGUUACCUCGUGACUUCAGAAGGAAUGUUCGUGCGUGUUAAGAGUUAUGCAAGAGAUGAACUUUAUU
rnacentral:misc_RNA from 1 species